AGAAUGGGAUCUAGCAAGAUGGUAUUUCUGGAGCAAUAAGUCAUUUACUGAAUGAUUAUGCAAAGCAUAAAUUGCAUUAUAGUCCUAGAAUAAUACAAAGCUUCCCUUUAGUUGUUGCCGUAAAUUAAUAACUGGCAUUUUAAUGCACUAAAUGAAUUUUAGUAGUUAGAUUUAUAUCUUUGACUUCUAGGAAUUUCAACUACGUUAGAGUUCAUAUACACAGAAGGGGCAAGCCCUUUUCCACAGCAUUUCCAGCUUCGCCACAGAAACCUAGCCCCACAUGAGCAAAAGAUCACACUCUGUGCUUCAUCAAAGAGAUUACACAAUUACAGAUUCCAGCAUCUCCCAGGAGUCCUUUGAAUUUGGAUUAAGGUCUAUAAUUACGUGGCUGAUGGAAUUUGAGAAAUGGCAGGUGUGAGGACUCUGACCUUCCCAUGAAGCAGGUCAUAAGACCCUCAUGUGAGAGAUGCCCUCUCUAUACCUGGAGAAAAGAAGCAGUCUUAUUUGUGAAGACAGAGAGACGCCAAGAGGAAUCUAAAUGAAUAGGCCUUGGAACCCCACACGCACGGGCCUUGUGCUGUCGCUGCCGUGGCACCCCUUCUAGAAGAAAAUCUAGGUAUCUUGCACCAAGAAGUGGAAAAUAAAGAAGAGAAAUGAGAACCAUGUUUGUAUUGGCUGUCUAUAAAAUAAGAGUUCUAGGUACAUGAAAUCCACUGGUGUGCUGGUAAAUGUUUAAUAACCAGUCCUCUGGAAAGGAGAAAGUUGAAGACCCCAUUUAUACAUUUGCUCAUUUCGGUGGUGUAAAUACCCUGAAAAUAGCUGAUUUCGAGCUAUCAACAUUACUGAAGAUGGAGCUGGGAAGAGCAUCUCCUUCAUUAUCCUCCUUCUAAGCUGAUGCGCCUGCUUUCUGCUUAACUGAGAAAACUGAAGAGAUCAUAUCAGAAGUUGCAUGGAUUCUGCAUCACCACUGCAUCUGCUCACCACUCAGCAUCUCCACCCACAG